rnacentral:lncRNA from 1 species
UGAUUCCUUGUAAUAUAUGCAUGUAUAGAUAGAAUAUCAAUUGGAUCAUUCCAACUUGUGAUUUUUUAAAUAGACUUACCCACAUUAACUAAUAUAUCUCUAACAACCUUCCUAUUUGCCACAUACUUCAUUAUACUAAGCCACAAUGAACUUAUAUGAUCCAAUGCUUCAAUGCUUAUGCCCCCACAAUCUCAAGUAAAUCCAAUCUUAUUUGUCUUUGCUUCCUUUGCAUGAACCAUCAAUGCUUUUAUAUCUCCAUUGCCAAAUUUUAUCUCCAAUUUUUUUCCACUUUCUUUUAUAAAUAUCAUAUCAUCUUUGAAAAAAAUAAUCCCUUUACGUAGCACCUUUGU